rfam:Triticum aestivum genome assembly, contig: Triticum_aestivum_CS42_TGACv1_scaffold_223436_3B
CUCAUACUACCUCCGUCCGAAAAUACUUGUCAUCAAAAUGGAUAAAAAGGAUGUAUGUAGAAUUAAUAUACAUAUGGAUACAUCUCCUUCUAUUCAUUUUUGAUGACAAGUUCCCGGACGGAGGGAGUAUAUA